AAAUGCUGAAGCGAAGUCAGGCAUGGUCUCGUCUCAUCAUCGGCCGGAGAGAGAAAGUGCGGAGCCCCCCUGAGAGAGUUGUUUACUUGCGACACUGUUUGUGUCUGCGAGGGUGUUCGCAAGAGAAGAAGAGUCUCAGGGUGGGACCGAGGAACACCGGCUGUAGUGGGAACAGGUCCCAAUUCAACUGCCAGCCGCUCCAUAGCUCCGCCUGAGUAUCGUGUGACUAUACUGGACGCCUCAUCUCAUUGCCGAGGUUCAUUGUCCGUGAGGAGCAGUCGGCAUCGGUACCCAGGAGUUCUUGCAAGCGAUCGCGGAGAAUUUCGAUGUUAAAAGAGGACUUCAGUUGCACGCGUUGUAGAGUUUGGCGGCUCUUUGGUGAAUUCUUGGUGUGUCGUUCUGAGAGUUCGGAGAGGUGAUGGAGGCAGAUAGCGUGCGAGUGAGACAAAUGUGAUGACCGAGGCGAGAAAGAUGGCGUGCGGUGAAACGCGGGCUAGACCUUUGAGAUGACGCUUGGAAAAGGCUCGAGGACGACACAGUUUUGAUGAACAGGAUCACCUCGGAUGCAUUGCGUAGAACAUAAGCACUCAUGCUGGAAAGGCAGGAGUCAUUGCCUGGUACUAGUGCGCGGGAUAACCGCGAUACCGAGAUGCUGAGCGACGUUGCUAUGCAAUUCGCUCCUAGAGCCGAGCCGAUGGCUGGAAGGACCAAGAUGGAGCCGUGGUCCCAGCACGAUGAAUAUUCGUUCAUGACGGAGUCGGUGUCUCCUCUAGCUCGUACUCCAGCUUUCUGGGAGCAUGUGAUGCACAACCAAGUGGAGUCUGGCAACUUAUUCUCGAUGACUACCCCGCAUGUGGACACGAGGCUUCAGCCAUCGACUCCCACGUUCUAUUCGUACGGUUGUGAAACUAGUCAAGGUAGUGACAGCACGGGGUCUUCGUACAGCGAUCAGCAAGGAGAGCGCAUCAAGAGGCGGCGUAUGUUGCAGUUCACUGGGGUCAACACAGGCGGUUUUGCGCACGACUCGCCUCUCCCUCACGAGAGUGUCGUCGGCUCGCCUUCAACUACGUACUCUUCGUCAUAUGCGGGCUCUCCUCUUUCUUCAGUUUUCAGUGGCGAUGACUACAUGUUGCAACCCUAUUGCUCGCCUGGCUUGACAACGUCGCCGUGGUUCACGGGAUCUGAUGCUACUACCUCUUUUGUUCUUCCCAAUUCUCAACAGCCUGUUGAAACGUGGUCGUCCCUACCAUCAUUUGAAAAGAAUCAGUCCUACAGUGCUCCGGUGCAAAUAAAUUCUUCGCAGCUUCCAAUGGGUAGUUACAUCCCGAAUUCUCUUGGUGAGAAUUAUUCUCCACAACCUUGGAAACGACCGACACCACUCACGCCACAGUCUAGUUUUUCCCAAAAUUCUAAUUUCUCGCCGAAACAGUUACCACUACAAAUGCAAUUUCAGCAGCCUUUUCAAUAUCAGCAAACUCAACCGCGACUAUUGCAUCCAAAGGCAGAAAAUGGGCAGUUACAAAACCCUCUAAUACCUUUCUCAAAGCCUCCUACUCCUGGUCGGAAGUCGUCUUCAGGUCUGAGUAGAUUCAAAACGAAGUCUUUAAUGCCUAUUGCAUUGCCCUUUGCAAUGCUGAAACCAUCUGCUGCUCAAGGUGAUGUAACAUUGAACGAUAUUAAUAAACUGUUACUCAGCCCUCCACCGACUCCUACAGAUAGACCAUCACCUGUAGAUGAGAAAAGGCCUCGUUCUCCACCAGGAGCGGGUCUCUCUGGAAAAUCUGUUGUUGCAUGUACCAAGAUACACACAGAAGGUGCUGGCACUAUCACCAUCAUGAGGACCAAGGGACCUUUGCAAGCCCAACCGUAGGGAUACAGUGACCUUCAAAGCUGUCCCAAUGUUUAUACUUGUCACAUUCGAAAAACGAUGUCCAACAUUGAAUUUUUUCAUCAAUUUGUCCAUUUUCUUUUGGCUUUCAAUACAACUACUAUUUAUCUAGGCACUGUUUCUAUAAGUCUCUUGUAAUCAUCAACAAUUAUAGAAGAGAAGAUUUCUUCUACACAAGACUAUAAUUCAAGUAUUUCUUUUGGAGGUGUAUUGUAUUGAUUUAAUUUCCAUUUCAAAAUGGCCCAAAGAUUUUCUAUAGGAUUCAAAUCUGGUGACUAAAGAUGCCAAGAUAAAACACUAUUAUGUUGCCUAAAAAUCCAUUGUUUUAUGAGGAGGCUAAGUUAGGACACUAAAAUGUUGCCUAAAAAACCAUUGUUUCAUGCUAUUACUACUAUGUAUAGGUGCAUUAUCCUAUUAAAAUAUAACGUUUUGAUGCAUCUAAAUCAAUUUUUUUAAUUAUACCAUAUAGAUGUUCC